rnacentral:rRNA from 1 species
GAUGAACGCUAGCUACAGGCUUAACACAUGCAAGUCGCGGGGCAGCAUGGGGGUUGCUUGCAACCCCUGAUGGCGACCGGCGCACGGGUGAGUAACGCGUAUCCAACCUGCCCUUCACCACGGGAUAACCCGGCGAAAGUCGGACUAAUACCGUAUGUUGUCCAUUGACGGCAUCCGAUUUGGACGAAAGGCUUGGCGGGGGAAGGGUGGGGAUGCGUCCGAUUAGCUUGACGGCGGGGUAACGGCCCACCGUGGCGACGAUCGGUAGGGGUUCUGAGAGGAAGGUCCCCCACACUGGAACUGAGACACGGUCCAGACUCCUACGGGAGGCAGCAGUGAGGAAUAUUGGUCAAUGGGCGUAAGCCUGAACCAGCCAAGUAGCGUGCAGGAUGACGGCCCUAUGGGUUGUAAACUGCUUUUAUGCGGGGAUAAAGUGGCCCACGGGUGGGCUUUUGCAGGUACCGCAUGAAUAAGGACCGGCUAAUUCCGUG